rnacentral:rRNA from 1 species
GAUGAACGCUGGCGGCGUGCCUAAUACAUGCAAGUCGAGCGAGCGGACGAGAAGCUUGCUUUUCUGAUGUUAGCGGCGGACGGGUGAGUAACACGUGGAUAACCUACCUAUAAGACUGGGAUAACUUCGGGAAACCGGAGCUAAUACCGGAUAAUAUUUUGAACCGCAUGGUUCAAAAGUGAAAGACGGUCUUGCUGUCACUUAUAGAUGGAUCCGCGCUGCAUUAGCUAGUUGGUAAGGUAACGGCUUACCAAGGCAACGAUGCAUAGCCGACCUGAGAGGGUGAUCGGCCACACUGGAACUGAGACACGGUCCAGACUCCUACGGGAGGCAGCAGUAGGGAAUCUUCCGCAAUGGGCGAAAGCCUGACGGAGCAACGCCGCGUGAGUGAUGAAGGUCUUCGGAUCGUAAAACGCUGUUAUUAGGGAAGAACAUAUGUGUAAGUAACUGUGCACAUCUGGACGGUACCUAAUCAGAAAGCCACGGCUAACUACGU